rnacentral:rRNA from 1 species
UACGAAGGGGGCUAGCGUUGUUCGGAAUUACUGGGCGUAAAGCGCGCGCAGGCGGUCUUCCAAGUCAGUGGUGAAAGCCCGGAGCUCAACUCCGGAACUGCCAUUGAAACUGUUAGACUUGAGGACGAGAGAGGUGAGUGGAAUUCCCAGUGUAGAGGUGAAAUUCGUAGAUAUUCGGCAAGAACACCAGUGGCGAAGGCGGCUGACUGGUCCGGUUCUGACGCUGAGGCGCGAAAGCGUGGGGAGCAAACAGGAUU